rnacentral:rRNA from 1 species
CAGUCGCCGCGGGAAUACGUAGGUGGCAAGCGUUGUCCGGAAUUAUUGGGCGUAAAGGGCUCGCAGGCGGUUUCUUAAGUCUGAUGUGAAAGCCCCCGGCUCAACCGGGGAGGGUCAUUGGAAACUGGGAAACUUGAGUGCAGAAGAGGAGAGUGGAAUUCCACGUGUAGCGGUGAAAUGCGUAGAGAUGUGGAGGAACACCAGUGGCGAAGGCGACUCUCUGGUCUGUAACUGACGCUGAGGCUCGAGAGCGUGGGUAGCGAACAGGAUUAGAUACCCGGGUAGUCCCUGUCUCUUAUAC